rnacentral:rRNA from 1 species
CUGGAACGCGCUUCGGCGCACC